UACGGAGGAGGCAAGCGUUAUCCGGAAUUAUUGGGCGUAAAGCGUUCGCAGGUGGUUAAUCAAGUCUGCUGUCAAAGCGCGAGGCUCAACUUCGUAAAGGCAGUGGAAACUGAUUGACUUGAGUUUGGUAGGGGUAGAGGGAAUUCCCAGUGUAGCGGUGAAAUGCGUAGAUAUUGGGAAGAACACCGGUGGCGAAAGCGCUCUACUGGGCCUGAACUGACACUGAGGGACAAAAGCUAGGGGAGCGAAAGGG
rnacentral:rRNA from 1 species